UGCACUCACCGUUAGAAAUUCGAGUGGCGGACGGGUGAGUAACACGUGGGUAACCUGCCCAAAAGAAGGGGAUAACAUUUGGAAACAAAUGCUAAUACCGUAUAACCAUGAUGACCGCAUGGUCAUUAUGUAAAAGGUGGUUCUGCUAUCGCUUUUGGAUGGACCCGCGGCGUAUUAACUAGUUGGUAGGGUAACGGCCUACCAAGGUGAUGAUACGUAGCCGAGUUGAGAGACUGAUCGGCCACAAUGGGACUGAGACACGGCCCAUACUCCUACGGGAGGCAGCAGUAGGGAAUCUUCCACAAUGGGCGCAAGCCUGAUGGAGCAACGCCGCGUGAAUGAAGAAGGUCUUCGGAUCGUAAAAUUCUGUUGUUAGAGAAGAAUAUGAGUAAUAGUAACUGAUUAUUCACUGACGGUAUCUAACCAGCAAGUCACGGCUAACUACGUGCCAGCAGCCGCGGUAAUACGUAGGUGGCAAGCGUUGUCCGGAUUUAUUGGGCGUAAAGGGAACGCAGGCGGUUUUUUAAGUCUGAUGUGAAAGCCUUCGGCUUAACCGGAGAUGUGCAUUGGAAACUGGAAGACUUGAGUGCAGAAGAGGAGAGUGGAACUCCAUGUGUAGCGGUGAAAUGCGUAGAUAUAUGGAAGAACACCAGUGGCGAAAGCGGCUCUCUGGUCUGUAACUGACGCUGAGGUUCGAAAGCAUGGGUAGCGAACAGGAUUAGAUACCCUGGUAGUCCAAG
rnacentral:rRNA from 1 species